GCCCUCGUAGCUCAACGGCCAGAGCCUCCUCUCAUCCUUAGGUGAGUUGCAGACAAUUAUAGGGAAGACGUGGGUUCACCUCCCAUUGAGGGCA